AAAUUAUAGCUCAAUAUAGAAAAGAUGGGGUAAUAUCUUGAUUUUUUUUUAAAAAUUUUUUAAUUCAUUUGGCUCUGAUUGCAACUCGAGAUCUUGCUGUCCUAGAGAUGACAUUUAUUUAGUUCUCAACUUCUUUUCUUCAAGGUGACAUUUAUUUCAAUGGGUUACUUAUUUGCGGUAAUUGUUUUUAGGAUGCCUUGUCAGUUGCUGCACAAGCAAGAAACAAGGUUGUGGACAGACAUGAAAAACUGGAGGUAUGAUGUUGAAGGAUUAGCAUGGAGCUUAUUUUAGUUUUUAAAUAGGGCAUAUCAACUUUUGUUUGGAAACUAACCUACCACAUUAUUAUUUUGAGUGGCAAUGGUGAGAGAAAAGGCGAUAAUUGUAGUCGUGGCAUUAAACUCGAUUUUGCUCUUGUAUUUCAUCAUCUCUAUCCAAAAAAAAACUUGUUAAGGCAAUGGAGAAUCGA
rnacentral:misc_RNA from 1 species